CACCGUGGAACUUUCUUUCAAUUAAAAUCAAGGAAUAUCACAAGAAAAGAUGCGUCAACAGGGGAAUAAUGAAAAGACACAACAGUAAAGAAAAUUGCAAUGUGAACAUAAAUUUAAUAGAAACCUAGUGUAACUUACUACUCAAAAUGUCAAAGCUAAGCCCUGGAUGUGACAACACAUUGCUCUUCCAUUCAAAGUAAAGAAAUGAAAAUGAAAAUAAAUGCAAAGUGAUAACGUCUGAUGCAAUGCUGCACAAAAGGAAAGGAAUAAUGCUUCUUCAUUUCACCCAAUACCCAUCACCAAAAUCAUUCUUCAAAGAAAAUUGCAAUACUCAAAAAAUUCCAGCCUAUGCACUCUCGGUAAAAACAUUGCAGCAGCCUGAAAAAUUUUUAGGAAAAAGUGACGGCUGGUUGGGAAUGUUGUGAUCCCAAGGACCAUGUGUCCUAAAAUGAGGUGGGGUCCACCCUAAAAAUAGAAAGAAACCCUAGGGCAAGUGUCCUACAAUUUUGGGCCCCUCAUAAUUUUUUUACAAUGGCCCAAUCUGCAAAGGUUGUCUAUAAAAAAGUUUAAAUAAUUAAAAUUACAAUACAACUAAAUUUAAAAUGUCUAAACGAAGAGUCUUGAAUUUAUUUUGUCUCCUUCCCA
rnacentral:lncRNA from 1 species